AUGUCCGCGUCCGCAGAUGUUGAGAGCCAGUCGCCCGCCGCGCGCUCCCGCAGCCGGUGUCUGGACACCUUCCUCACCGUGUCCGUGAUCGCGCUCUUCCUCAUGUUUAUGGUCGCGGGAUCGGGAGCGCUGUACUUCGCCAAACACAUCAAGGACGAGAUAGACGCGCGGACGACGCGACGCUCAGACGGAUCCGCGAACGCGUUGGUCGCACCGUUCGCCAAGACCGGAAACGCGUAUAAAAUGGAGAAUUUUGUUUACCUGAGGGCCACUGAAAGUGAACUCAAAACAGGUGUGAUGGCGUGGGAAACAUUCGCGUAUGGAAAGGGUCAAACCAUUGGCUCUCGCUACAGCUAUGAGGAAAAGCAGAAUGUGCUGAACAUCAAGGAAGGAGGAACCUACUUCCUGUACGUCCAGCUCAAUUUUUCCUGCACUGGACGAUGUCCAUCUGGCCAAUUCACUGUCAGCUUUUACAAUAAACACAAUAGUGAGGAGCUCAGCUGCACCGUCUCGCUGCCUGUGUGGAGCGAAGAAGCGCCUCACAGUCAGACGUGUUGGCGUGUCGUGACCUUUCCGGAAAAUGAAAACCGCCUCAUGGCCAAAUCACAGACUGAAGGCACACUAGACAACUGGAAACUGGAGAUGAAUGACUCUGGCUUUGGGAUGUUUCUGGUGGACGGAUUUGGAGCGCUGCAUCGCACGUGAUCAGCAGAAGCCUGACCAAACUGAUUUACUCAGGACUUGUUUUUUAUGCUUUGAUGAGCAGGACUCCACUAAUGUCCAUAAACUCUAUUGGCUAAUUUGGCAAUGCCUUCAGCUACAAAAAGAUCGUCUCUUUUACGUUUUUGUCACAAUAUUCAAAUGCAUUCUGCCAAAUUAUGCAGAUUUUACUCUACAACUAAAGCUCAGAAAAUGCAACGGCUUCUGGAGACUUUGUCUGGGCCUGAACUGAUAAGCAAUGCUUCUUAAGCACUAUUUAUAACUGAAAUAUAUUUAUAUGUGUAACGUGAAAUAUUUGCAAUAUUUAUAUUCAUAUUUUGUGUAUACUGUACAUAGUGUGUUCAAACAUUUGUAGACAUCACUACGUGUGCGGGGCGUCAGACCGAACCCUUUCGUUCACUGAUUGCAUGUACUGUAUUUAUUCUACAGAUGUAUAGGUGCAUCACAGAAAUAACGAGUCAACUUUGACCAGCACAUCAACACUAGUGCCUUGGUUGGGUCUGUACGCUUCGCGGUAUGUUCAAGAACUCACAAGGCUGCAUGAGUGAAUGUACGUGAACGUCUCUUCACAAGCAUGCACUUUUCUUGUGCAUCUGGUGUGAAGGAAAGCACUGUAUGAAUGCUAACAAACUCAGGAACUCUAGAGAUGAAUGUAAUGACGAUUGUGUGAAAUGCUUUACUUUGUAAACAGAGUAUUUAAUAAAAAUGCAAAAAGUUUGAUUUACA
ensembl:lncRNA